CGCCAACACUGGGACUGAGAACUGCCCAGACUCCUACGGGAGGCUGCAGUCGAGAAUCAUUCGCAAUGGGCGAAAGCCUGACGAUGCGACGCCGUGUGUAUGAUGAAGGCCUUCGGGUCGUAAAGUACUUUCGCCUGUGAACAAGAGAGGCUAACUAACA
rnacentral:rRNA from 1 species